GACGAACGCUGGCGGCGUGCUUAACACAUGCAAGUCGAACGGAAAGGCCCUGCUUUUGUGGGUUGCUCGAGUGGCGAACGGGUGAGUAACACGGGAGUAACCUGCCCUUGACUUUGGGAUAACUUCAGGAAACUGGGGCAAAUACCGGAUAGGAGCUCCUGCGGCAUGGGGGGGGUGGGAAAGUUUCGGCGGUUGGGGAUGGACUCGCGGCUUAUCAGCUUGUUGGUGGGGUAGUGGCUUACCAAGGCUUUGACGGGUAGCCGGCCUGAGAGGGUGACCGGCCACAUUGGGACUGAGAUACGGCCCAGACUCCUACGGGAGGCAGCAGUGGGGAAUAUUGCACAAUGGGCGGAAGCCUGAUGCAGCAACGCCGCGUGCGGGAUGACGGCCUUCGGGUUGUAAACCGCUUUCGCCUGUGACGAAGCGUGAGUGACGGUAAUGGGUAAAGAAGCACCGGCUAACUACGUG
rnacentral:rRNA from 1 species